AGCUUUAUUAGGGUGAAACCGCGAAUGGGUCAUUAUAUCUUACCUAAUCUACUGGAAAGUUAAACAGGUGGUUGGAUACCUGAGCUAGGUGUUGAGAUAACACAUGCGAAAAGCUCCGACUCAGGGAGGGGAGCUUUUAUUAGAUCAAAACCGAACGGCUUCGGCCGUAUUACUGGCGACUCUGAAUAACUUUGGGCUGAUCGUAUUUGCCUCGUGCAGACGACGUUUCCUUCGAAGGUGUGCCCUAUCAACUGUCGACUGUGAUAUAGACGCUCACAGUGGUUUUGACGGGUAACGGGGAAUCAGGGUUCGAUUCCGGAGAGGGAGCCUUAAAAACGGCUACCACAUCCAAGGAAGGCAGCAGGCACGCAAAUUACCCAAUGACCGAAGGUCGAGGUAGUGACGAAAAAUAACGAUACCGGACUCAUCCGAGGCCCGGUAAUUGGAAUGAGUACACUUUAAAACCGUUCCCGAGGAACAAUUGGAGGGCAAGUCUGGUGCCAGCAGCCGCGGUAAUUCCAGCUCCAAUAGCGUAUAUUAAAGUUGUUGUGGUUAAAAAGCUCGUAGUUGGAUCUCGGCGGGCAGCAGUCGGUGCGAUAGAUUUCGCUACUGGCUCGUUUGCUCGUGUGUUGUGUCGGAGGCGGGCGGGUGCUCUUCGCCGAGUGUCCGUCCGUGCCGGCAGGUUUACUUUGAAAAAAUUAGAGUGCUCAAAGCAAGCUAUCACGCUUGAAUAUUCGUGCAUGGAAUAAUAGAAUAGGAAGUCGUUUCUAUUUUGUUGGUUUUUCGGAAAUCGACUUAAUGAUUAAUAGGGACAGUCGGGGGCAUUUUGUAUUCGAACGACAGAGGUGAAAUUCUUGGACCGUUUGAAGACAAACUACUGCGAAAGCAUUUGCCAAGAAUGUUUUCAUUAAUCAAGACGAAAGUUAGAGUUUCGAAGCGAUUAGAUACCGCCCUAGUUCUAACCAUAAACGAUGCCAGCUAGCGAUCUGCAGGCGUUUUUUUUUACGACCCUGCAGGGAGCUUCCGGGAAACCAAAGCUUGUGGGUUCCAGGGGAAGUAUGGUUGCAAAUCUGAAACUUAAAGGAAUUGACGGAAGGGCACCACCAGGAGUGGAGCCUGUGGCUUAAUUUGACUCAACACGGGAAAUCUCACCAGGCCCGGACACAAGAAGGAUUGACAGAUUGAUAGCUCUUUCUUGAUUUUGUGGUUGGUGGUGCAUGGCCGUUCUUAGUUGGUGGAGUGAUUUGUCUGGUUAAUUCCGAUAACGAACGAGACUCUGUCCUGCUAACUAGUGUCCGACUCUCCUUUUGGUCGGGCAGUUCUUCUUAGAGGGACUGGUAGCUCUUAGCUACACGAGAUAGAGCAAUAACAGGUCUGUGAUGCCCUUAGAUGUUCUGGGCCGCACACGCGCUACACUGAAUGUAUCAGCUAGUUUUUCCCUCUCCGAGAGGUGCGGGUAAGCUGUUGAACCACAUUCGUGGUAGGGAUCGGAGCUUGCAAUUGUUCUCCGUGAACCAGGAAUUCCCAGUAGGCGCAAGUCAUAAGCUUGCGUCGAUUACGUCCCUGCCCUUUGUACACACCGCCCGUCGCUACUACCGAUUGAGCGUUUUAGUGAGGACCUCGGACUGCUGAGCUCGUUGUUAACUCCGUGUGCCUGGCGGAAAGACGUCCAAACUGUAGCGC
rnacentral:rRNA from 1 species